rnacentral:misc_RNA from 1 species
AACUUUCAACAAUGGAUCACUUGGCUCUCGCAUCGAUGACGAACGCAGCGAAAUGCGAUAAGUAAUGUGAAUUGCAGAAUUCAGUGAAUCAUCGAAUCUUUGAACGCACCUUGCGCCCUUUGGCUAUUCCGAAGGGCAUGCCUGUUUGAGUAUCAUGAACACCUCAACCCUCACGGUUCCUCGUGAUGGGCUUGGACUUGGGGGCUUUGUUGGCCGGUGGUCAGGCCUCCUCGAGUUAAUCAGCUCACCAGUGUCUGGCGGCACCAUGGGUCGGAUACCCAUCUACGCUGGUGAUCUCCUGCGAGGUAACCCGCUGGUCUGUAUAGGUGCGCUGGAGCUUAUAGAUGUCUCUCCCCAGUGGAGACAGGUUUGCGAAGUUGGAUCUCAAAACAGGUAGGACUACCCGCUGAACUUGCGCAUAUUAAUAAGCGGAGGCU